CUUACGGGAGGCAGCAGUGGGGAAUAUUGGACAAUGGAGGGAACUCUGAUCCAGCAAUGCCAUGUGUGUGAAGAAGGCUUUCGGGUUGUAAAGCACUUUAGUUGGGGAGGAAAGCUUUAUGGUUAAUAGCUGUAGAGAGGGGACGUUACCCAAAGAAUAAGGACCGGCUAACUCCGUGCCAGCAGCCGCGGUAAU
rnacentral:rRNA from 1 species